CACACCAUGAGAGCUGACUGUACCAGAAGUCGCUCGGCUAACCCUGGGUUCGCCUUUGGGAGGCAGGCGCCUAAGGUAUGGUUGGUGAUUGGGGUG
rnacentral:rRNA from 1 species